AUUGAACGCUGGCGGCAGGCCUAACACAUGCAAGUCGAGCGUGCGGCGGACGGGUGAGUAAUGUAUGGGGAUCUCCCUGCUGGAGGGGGAUCACUACUGGAAACGGUAGCUAAUACCGCAUACUCUCAGAUGACCCCAUAUGGGAUUAGCUGGUAGGUAAGGUAACGGCUCCUCUAGGCGACGCUCCCUAGCUGGUCUGAGAGGAUGAUCAGCCACACGGGGACUGAGACACGGCCCAGACUCCUACGGGAGGCAGCAGUGGGGAAUAUUGCACAAUGGGCGCAAGCCUGAUGCAGCCAUGCCGCGUGUAUGAAGAAGGCCUUCGGGUUGUAAAGUACUUUCAGUGGGGAGGCGUUACCGGCAGAAGAAGCACCGGCUAACUCCGUGCCAGCAGCCGCGGUAAUAC
rnacentral:rRNA from 1 species